rnacentral:lncRNA from 1 species
AGUCGAGAUGCGGCAAAGCAGAGGCAAACAGCUAGGCACAAAGCAAUAGAGUUGUAAACUUUGUUUUUUUUUGUUUUUUGUUUUUUUUUCCUGCUGCCGCCUAUACUGCCUCUCUCCCAUAGGAAGAACACUACCUCUGGGUAGCCAGGAGCUGAGAUGCAGUCUGAAUGUUCACGGUGGCUUCUGACGUGGCAGCGUGAAUUCUCAGCUGGGCAGGGAGGAACCGGAGGUAUGAAUGACAACUGUUUGAGAAGAAGGUCCCAAAUCCCUCUCUUAAAACCUUGGGAUUGUGCUUGAGACUCAGCCCCGAUGUGUUCCGUGGUGAGUCACUCACCUGGUUUACCCACACUGUAUGCUCCCCCUACCUGCCCCUACCUUGUCAUAAGGCUACAUUCUAUUUCAUUAUUAAAGUCCAGCUUGGAGCAGAAACCCAAAUUGAAGUGACCUGAAAUUUCUCCUAGAGAAUACAUUAAUCUGCACAGAGCCAUCUGUGAGCUACUUUUAGCGAAGUUAUGUGGAUGCAUUUCACAGAUCAUCAGACUGGAUAUUCUGUCAUCAAGCCUCGUGGCUCUAAUUGAAUUAUCUUACAAGAACAACAGCACAGUAUAUUUCCAUGAUUUUUAAGUGCUGGGAACAUUAAAUCUUCAUGUCUGGAGGACAAGAAAACUAAAAGUACUCAUUGUUCAGUAGCCACUGAGGCUGAUGGGAGGCGGGACUGUGGAUUCACGUGGCUGACGAUGACUGGUCUUCCUGGCCAUAUUACUUUCUCUUUCUUUUAUCAAGUACAGACAUGGCGCCUGCCUGGAGUGGUGGUAUGAGUGCCCAAUCUCAACGAAACAACCAAGGCCACCUGUUCCCAUUUUUUUUUAUUGCUGUUGUUACAUGUGUAUAUGUGACAUAUGUGCAUGUAUGUUCAUGUGUUUGUGGGUACACAUUGUAUGCCGGUGUGUGUGGAUAUGUCUCUACGUGGCCAUUGAAGAAAUUAAAACAGGAAGACUC